GAUGAACGCUGGCGGCGUGCCUAAUACAUGCAAGUAGAACGCUGAAGGAAGGAGCUUGCUCUUUCCGGAUGAGUUGCGCACGGGUGAGUAACGCGUAUGUAACCUGCCUGGUAGCGGGGGAUCACUAUUGGAAACGAUAGCUAAUACCGCAUAACAGUAGAUUUUGCAUUAUAUCUACUUAAAAGUUGCCAUUGCACCACUACCAGAUGGACCUUCGUUGUAUUAGCUAGUUGGUGAGGUAACGGCUCACCAAGGCGACGAUACCUAGCCGACCUGAGAGGGUGAUCGGCCACACUGGGAGGGAGACCCGGCCCAGACGGCUACGGGAGGCAGCAGUAGGGAAUCUGGGGAAAUGGACGGAAGUCUGAGCGAGCAACGCCGCGGGAGUGAAGAAGGAUGUCGGAUCGUAAAGCUCGGUUGUAAGAGAAGAACGAGUGUGAGAGUGGAAAGUUCACACUGUGACGGUAUCUGACCAGAAAGGGACGGCUAACUACGUG
rnacentral:rRNA from 1 species